rnacentral:rRNA from 1 species
AUUGGUACGUACUAGUAUUAUUGGUUUCUCCCUUCUGAUGAAUCAUGAUGUCAUUAAUUUGAUGUCAUGGGGAAUCAGGACUGUUACUUUGAAAAAAUUAGAGUGUUUAAAGCAGGCUCGCGCUUGAAUACAUUAGCAUGGAAUAAUGAAAUAGGACGUUUGAUUCUAUUUUGUUGGUUUCUAGGAUCGACGUAAUGAUUAAUAGGGAUAGUUGGGGGCAUUAGUAUUCAAUUGUCAGAGGUGAAAUUCUUGGAUUUAUUGAAGACUAACUACUGCGAAAGCAUUUGCCAAGGAUGUUUUCAUUAAUCAAGAACGAAAGUUAGGGGAUCGAAGACGAUCAGAUACCGUCGUAGUCUUAACCAUAAACUAUGCCGACUAGGGAUCGGAUGAUGUUAAUUUUUUAAUGACUCAUUCGGCGCCUUACG